rnacentral:tRNA from 1 species
CCCUGGGUAGUGGAAAUGGUUAACACAGUCGGCUGCUAACCAAAAGUUUGUAGGUUCGAGUCUACCUGGAGGA